CUUCGUUUAUCUAUUAGUCCAGUCAUCAAUUAGUUAUAAGUUACUGUAAAUGAUGGGUUGUCAUGCAUCUGAUUAUGUAGUUAGGGAAGGACCAGUGAAUGUUAUUUUAAGAAAGUAUGUUAGUAUUUUUACUAUGAAAUUUUCAGCAAUCUCAAACACGCAAGUACAGUUUUUAAAAUGAUAAAUGUAUUUUCACUAGUGUGUCUUAAUUAACCUUUAAACAUUAUGAGUAUGGUUAUAAUGUUAUUUUCUUUAUUGAGUUUAAUGGAACUCACCCCAAUCCAUUCUCCCUAGGUGAUGUUGAAGAAGAAGAUCUGUCUCUUAACCUGCCACUUGAUGCGUGUUUGGCUCCAUUCAUGGAUCCAUAGCUUGUUGAGUGCGAAUGUGCACAUCACUCUGGAAG
rnacentral:lncRNA from 1 species